AGGGUGUAAACGCUGCAGACUUGGUGUUGGAGGCCCUUUGGGGGCAUUCAGUGCCGGAGAGAAGUUGUUAAGUCUGCUACUUGGGGAGUACGUCCGCAAGGAUGAAACUUAAAGGAAUUGGCGGGGGAGCACCGCAACGGGAGGAGCGUGCGGUUUAAUUGGAUUCAACACCGUAAACUCACCAGGGAAGACUGUUACAUGAAGGCCGAGAUGAAGACUCUGCUAGAUUUUCAGAGAGGAGGUGCAUGGCGUCAGUGACU
rnacentral:rRNA from 1 species